AUUGAACGCUGGCGGCAUGCUUUACACAUGCAAGUCGAACGGUAACAGGUUAAGCUGACGAGUGGCGAACGGGUGAGUAAUGCAUCGGAACGUGCCCGGUCGUGGGGGAUAACGCAGCGAAAGCUGCGCUAAUACCGCAUACGAUCUGAGGAUGAAAGCGGGGGACCGUAAGGCCUCGCGCAAUCGGAGCGGCCGAUGUCAGAUUAGGUAGUUGGUGGGGUAAAGGCUCACCAAGCUGACGAGCUGUAGCUGGUCUGAGAGGACGACCAGCCACGCUGGGACUGAUGCACGGCCCGGACUCCUACGGGAGGCAGCAGUGGGGAAUUUUGGACAAUGGGCGCAAGCCUGAUCCAGCAAUGCCGCGUGCAGGAAGAAGGCUUUCGGGUUGUAAACUGCUUUUGUACGGAGCGAAAAGGCUCUCUCUAAUACAGGGGGCUCAUGACGGUACCGUAAGAAUAAGCACCGGCUAACUACGUGCCAGCAGCAGCCGCCG
rnacentral:rRNA from 1 species